rnacentral:rRNA from 1 species
CCUACGGGGGGCAGCAGUGAGGAAUAUUGGUCAAUGGACGCGAGUCUGAACCAGCCAUGCCGCGUGCAGGAAGAAGGCUCUGUGAGUUGUAAACUGCUUUUGUCCGGGGAUAAACGCAGAUACGCGUAUCUGGCUGAAAGUAUCGUACGAAUAAGGAUCGGCUAACUCCGUGCCAGCAGCCGCGGUAAUACGGAGGAUUCAAGCGUUAUCCGGAUUUAUUGGGUUUAAAGGGUGCGUAGGCGGUCGGAUAAGUUAGAGGUGAAAUCCCGAGGCUCAACUUCGGAACUGCCUCUGAUACUGUUAGGCUAGAGAGUAGGUGCGGUAGGCGGAAUGUAUGGUGUAGCGGUGAAAUGCUUAGAGAUCAUACAGAACACCGAUUGCGAAGGCAGCUUACCAGGCUACUUCUGACGUUGAGGCACGAAAGCGUGGGGAGCGAACAGGAUUAGAUACCCCUGUAGUC